rnacentral:rRNA from 1 species
GAUGAACGCUGGCGGCGUGCCUAAUACAUGCAAGUCGAGCGAACUGAUUAGAAGCUUGCUUCUAUGACGUUAGCGGCGGACGGGUGAGUAACACGUGGGCAACCUGCCUGUAAGACUGGGAUAACUUCGGGAAACCGAAGCUAAUACCGGAUAGGAUCUUCUCCUUCAUGGGAGACGAUUGAAAGAUGGUUUCUGCUAUCACUUACAGAUGGGCCCGCGGUGCAUUAGCUAGUUGGUGAGGUAACGGCUACCCAAGGCAACGAUGCAUAGCCGACCUGAGAGGGUGAUCGGCCACACUGGGACUGAGACACGGCCCAGACUCCUACGGGAGGCAGCAGUAGGGAAUCUUCCGCAAUGGACGAAAGUCUGACGGAGCAACGCCGCGUGAGUGAUGAAGGCUUUCGGGUCGUAAAACUCUGUUGUUAGGGAAGAACAAGUACAAGAGUAACUGCUUGUACCUUGACGGUACCUAACCAGAAAGCCACGGCUAACUACGUGCCAGCCGCCGCAGUAA